UGCGGAAGGAUCAUUACUGAGAGUACCGGGCUCUGCCUGGCUACUUUUACCCAUGUUUUUAGAGUACCAAAAGUUUCCUCGGCGGCUCUAGCCCGCCGGUCGGACUCCAUUCAAACCCUUUGCAGUUGCAGUCAGCGUCUGAUAAACAAAAUAAUUACAACUUUCAACAACGGAUCUCUUGGUUCUGGCAUCGAUGAAGAACGCAGCGAAAUGCGAUAAGUAGUGUGAAUUGCAGAAUUCAGUGAAUCAUCGAAUCUUUGAACGCACAUUGCACCUCUCGGUAUUCCGGGAGGUAUGCCUGUUCGAGCGUCAUUUGUACCCUCAAGCUCUGCUUGGUGUUGGGUGUUUGUUCCGCCUUUGCGUGUGAACUCGCCCUAAAACAAUUGGCAGCCGGCGUACUUGUUUCGGAGCGCAGCACAUUUUGCGUUCAGAUCAGUGUACACUGGCACCCAAGAAGCCUUAUUUUAACGCUCUUGACCUCGGAUCAGGUAGGGAUACCCGCUGAACUUAAGCAUAUCAAUAA
rnacentral:rRNA from 1 species